rnacentral:tRNA from 1 species
CGGGGCGUAGCGCAGUUCGGUUAGCGCGCCUGCUUCGGGAGCAGGAGGUCGCUGGUUCAAAUCCAGUCGCCCCGACCA